UACGGAGGGUGCAAGCGUUAAUCGGAAUUACUGGGCGUAAAGCGUGCGCAGGCGGUUUGUUAAGUCCGUUGUGAAAGCCCCGAGCUCAACUUGGGAAUUGCAGUGGAUACUGGCAGGCUGGAGUACGGUAGAGGAAGGUGGAAUUCCCGGUGUAGCAGUGAAAUGCGUAGAUAUCGGGAGGAACACCAGUGGCGGAAGGCG
rnacentral:rRNA from 1 species